rnacentral:rRNA from 1 species
CCUACGGGAGGCUGCAGUGAGGAAUAUUGGUCAAUGGGCGCAAGCCUGAACCAGCCAUGCCGCGUGCAGGAAGACGGCCCUACGGGUUGUAAACUGCUUUUCCGGGGGAAGAAUAAGGCCCACGUGUGGGCCGAUGCCGGUACCCCGGGAAUAAGGAUCGGCUAACUCCGUGCCAGCAGCCGCGGUAAUACGGAGGAUCCGAGCGUUAUCCGGAUUUACUGGGUUUAAAGGGUGCGUAGGCGGGCGCUUAAGUCAGCGGUGAAAUGCGGGGGCUCAACCUUCGAACGGCCGUUGAUACUGGGCGCCUUGGAUUCGGUCGAGGCGGGCGGAAUGCGACAUGUAGCGGUGAAAUGCUUAGAUAUGUCGCAGAACGCCGAUUGCGAAGGCAGCUCGCCGGGCCGAUAUUGACGCUGAGGCACGAAAGCGUGGGGAUCGAACAGGAUUAGAUACCCCGGUAGUC